UACGGGGGGAGCAAGCGUUGUUCGGAUUUACUGGGCGUAAAGAGCUUGUAGGCGGUUUGUCGCGUCUGCUGUGAAAAUCCGGGGCUCAACCCCGGACUUGCAGUGGGUACGGGCAGACUGGAGUGUGGUAGGGGAGACUGGAAUUCCUGGUGUAGCGGUGGAAUGCGCAGAUAUCAGGAGGAACACCGAUGGCGAAGGCAGGUCUCUGGGCCACUACUGACGCUGAGAAGCGAAAGCAUGGGGAGCGAACAGG
rnacentral:rRNA from 1 species